CCUACGGGAGGCAGCAGUGAGGAAUAUUGGUCAAUGGUCGGGAGACUGAACCAGCCAAGCCGCGUGAGGGAGGAAGGUACAGAGUAUCGUAAACCUCUUUUGUCAGGGAACAAAGGCGGGGACGUGUCCCCGGAUGAGUGUACCCGAAGAAAAAGCAUCGGCUAACUCCGUGCCAGCAGCCGCGGUAAUACGGAGGAUGCGAGCGUUAUCCGGAUUUAUUGGGUUUAAAGGGAGCGUAGGCCGCAUGUCAAGCGUGCUGUGAAAUGUCCGGGCUCAACCCGGGCCUUGCAGCGCGAACUGGCGUGCUUGAGUCCGCGGAAAGCAGGCGGAAUUCGUCGUGUAGCGGUGAAAUGCUUAGAUAUACGGAGGAACACCAGUGGCGAAGGCGGCCUGCUGGACAUUAACUGACGCUGAGGCGCGAAAGCGUGGGGAGCAAACAGGAUUAGAUACCCGUGUAGUC
rnacentral:rRNA from 1 species